rnacentral:lncRNA from 1 species
AGGCAGCCCCGAAGCCGCGCCGCGCAGUGCUGCGCUGUGCCGCGCUACGCCUGGGGAUCCCGGGCACCCGAGGAAACCCCACUCCCGCAGGCCGGCGUGAGCUCGCUCCACGGCUGCCGAGGGAAGCCGGGAUGCCCCGAGGCCCCCUUUCCUGCGCAGGCUGGGAGGCGGGGCCUAGCGGAGGGUGCGGCCGCCCGCAGAGCCCUGGACGGCUCGCGGUUCCCCGGGAUGCGGCGCUCCCAACUGGUGGGAGCCGCCGGCUGGAGCGGUGCCUCUGUCCCCGGGAAAGCAGAGAGCUUGGCCUACGCCAAGUUAGACUUCUCCGGCCCAGUGCUCAGUUUCCUCUCCUGGAGGUGCGAAGGGUGCCUGGGACUCGGUUUUCCCGGCUCCUAGAGACACGCUAGGCUGACCGCUCCCCAGAGAUGGGUCUGGACGACCCAAGUGACCUCCGCUGUAGCCGGGGAAGCAAAAGGUCGGGGAUGUCUUUGCUCCUUUUAUGAAAAGACAGGAGACACUGCAAAAGAUGAGCACGGCGCUAGGGAUGAAUCAGGACCCUAGUUUACACUGGUUUCUUAGCUGCUGCACCCGAAUUACUGGGAAAGAAGCUAAUUCAUAGCAAUUUCUUUUAAAAAUCAACUCCGACAGCAAACAGAAGGCAAUAAAUGAACCUAUACUCUUUAGCUCC